CGCAAUUGUCUUAAUGCGGCUCAGCCCCACACAGCCGCCUGGGCAAAGCUCACUUGGAUGAUAGUGGGACCUGCAGAUGGAGUGUCAUUACCACGGUGUUUGGGUGAGCCGAUUGUAUUACGGUAAAUAACACAACUAAUUUCAAAAGCUGAGGGAG
rnacentral:lncRNA from 1 species